GAUGAACGCUGGCGGCGUGCCUAAUACAUGCAAGUCGAGCGAACGGACGAGAAGCUUGCUUCUCUGAUGUUAGCGGCGGACGGGUGAGUAACACGUGGAUAACCUACCUAUAAGACUGGGAUAACUUCGGGAAACCGGAGCUAAUACCGGAUGAUAUUUUGAACCGCAUGGUUCAAAAGUGAAAGACGGUCUUGCUGUCACUUAUAGAUGGAUCCGCGCUGCAUUAGCUAGUUGGUAAGGUAACGGCUUACCAAGGCAACGAUGCAUAGCCGACCUGAGAGGGUGAUCGGCCACACUGGAACUGAGACACGGUCCAGACUCCUACGGGAGGCAGCAGUAGGGAAUCUUCCGCAAUGGGCGAAAGCCUGACGGAGCAACGCCGCGUGAGUGAUGAAGGUCUUCGGAUCGUAAAACUCUGUUAUUAGGGAAGAACAUAUGUGUAAGUAACUGUGCGCAUCUUGACGGUACCUAAUCAGAAAGCCACGGCUAACUACGUG
rnacentral:rRNA from 1 species